GGGGAUUUAGCUCAGUGGUAGAGCGCUUGCCUAGGAGGUGCAAGGCCCUGGGUUCGGUCCCCAGCUCCG
rfam:Rattus norvegicus chromosome 14, whole genome shotgun sequence.